UCUCACUUAUUUAUUUGCUUUCAUUGAAUUCAUAUCCUUGAUAGAUUGAGAAGAAUACACAUAUAAUAUCAAAGCUUUGUCUUUUUUUGAUUAAGAAUACAUUGCUCCUUUCUCUUGAUAAGACUUAAGCAUAUUAGAAAUUGUGGAUUACCUUCAUCUAAACUGAUAUUGUCUUUAGUAUUUUUUCUUUGUUUUUAAGUCUUCUCUUCUAUUUGUCUUUAGCAAUAUUAAACAUCUUCUUUUCUUUAAUUGUUAUCAUGAUAGAG
rnacentral:lncRNA from 1 species